UUUGUAUGCGGGGUAGGGGAGCGUUCUGUAAGCGGUUGAAGGUGGUCUGUAAGGGCUGCUGGACGUAUCAGAAGUGCGAAUGCUGACAUGAGUAACGAUAAAGGGGGUGAAAAACCCCCUCGCCGGAAGACCAAGGGUUCCUGUCCAACGUUAAUCGGGGCAGGGUAAGUCGACCCCUAAGGCGAGGCCGAAAGGCGUAGUCGAUGGGAAACGGGUUAAUAUUCCCGUACUUCUUAUAAUUGCGAUGGGGGGACGGAGAAGGCUAGGUGGGCCUGGCGAUGGUUGUCCAGGUUCAAGUAUGUAGGCGGAAAGUUUAGGUAAAUCCGGACUUUCUUAACGCUGAGAUACGAUGUCGAGCUGCUACGUGCAGUGAAGUCAUUGAUGCCAUGCUUCCAGGAAAAGCCUCUAAGCUUCAGAUUAUAAGAAAUCGUACCCCAAACCGACACAGGUGGUCGGGUAGAGAAUACCAAGGCGCUUGAGAGAACUCGGGUGAAGGAACUAGGCAAAAUGGUACCGUAACUUCGGGAGAAGGUACGCUCUUGGCGGUGAAGUCCCUUGCGGAUGGAGCUACUAGGAGUCGCAGAUACCAGGUGGCUGCAACUGUUUAUUAAAAACACAGCACUGUGCAAAAUCGUAAGAUGACGUAUACGGUGUGACGCCUGCCCGGUGCCGGAAGGUUAAUUGAUGGGGUUAGACUUCGGUCGAAGCUCUUGAUCGAAGCCCCGGUAAACGGCGGCCGUAACUAUAACGGUCCUAAGGUAGCGAAAUUCCUUGUCGGGUAAGUUCCGACCUGCACGAAUGGCGUAAUGAUGGCCACGCUGUCUCCACCCGAGACUCAGUGAAAUUGAAAUCGCUGUGAAGAUGCAGUGUACCCGCGGCUAGACGGAAAGACCCCGUGAACCUUUACUACAGCUUGGCACUGAACAUUGACCCUACAUGUGUAGGAUAGGUGGGAGGCUUUGAAGACGGUACGCCAGUAUCGUUGGAGCCGUCCUUGAAAUACCACCCUUGUAGUGUUGAUGUUCUAACUUAGUCCCCUUAUCGGGGAUGAGGACAGUGCCUGGUGGGUAGUUUGACUGGGGCGGUCUCCUCCCAAAGAGUAACGGAGGAGCACGAAGGUGGGCUAAACACGGUUGGACAUCGUGUGGUUAGUGCAAUGGCAUAAGCCCGCUUGACUGCGAGAAUGACAAUUCGAGCAGGUGCGAAAGCAGGUCAUAGUGAUCCGGUGGUUCUGAAUGGAAGGGCCAUCGCUCAACGGAUAAAAGGUACUCCGGGGAUAACAGGCUGAUACCGCCCAAGAGUUCAUAUCGACGGCGGUGUUUGGCACCUCGAUGUCGGCUCAUCACAUCCUGGGGCUGAAGUCGGUCCCAAGGGUAUGGCUGUUCGCCAUUUAAAGUGGUACGCGAGCUGGGUUUAGAACGUCGUGAGACAGUUCGGUCCCUAUCUGCCGUGGGCGUUGGAAGAUUGAAGGGGGCUGCUCCUAGUACGAGAGGACCGGAGUGGACGAACCUCUGGUGUUCGGGUUGUCAUGCCAAUGGCAUUGCCCGGUAGCUAAGUUCGGAAUCGAUAACCGCUGAAAGCAUCUAAGCGGGAAGCGAGCCCUGAGAUGAGUCUUCCCUGGCACUUUAAGUGUCCUAAAGGGUUGUUCGAGACUAGAACGUUGAUAGGCAGGGUGUGUAAGUGCUGCGAGGCAUUGAGCUAACCUGUACUAAUUGCCCGUGAGGCUUAACCAUACAACACCCAAGGGGUUU
rnacentral:rRNA from 2 species